rnacentral:rRNA from 1 species
AUUGAACGCUGGCGGCAUGCUUUACACAUGCAAGUCGAACGGCAGCGCGGGCUUCGGCCUGGCGGCGAGUGGCGAACGGGUGAGUAAUGCAUCGGAACGUGCCCAGUAGUGGGGGAUAGCCCGGCGAAAGCCGGAUUAAUACCGCAUACGACCUGAGGGUGAAAGCGGGGGACCGAAAGGCCUCGCGCUAUUGGAGCGGCCGAUGUCGGAUUGGCUAGUUGGUGGGGUAAAGGCUUCCAAGGCGACGAUCCGUAGCUGGUCUGAGAGGACGACCAGCCACACUGGGACUGAGACACGGCCCAGACUCCUACGGGAGGCAGCAGUGGGGAAUUUUGGACAAUGGGGGCAACCCUGAUCCAGCCAUGCCGCGUGCGGGAAGAAGGCCUUCGGGUUGUAAACCGCUUUUGUUCGGGAAGAAAUCCUGUGGGCUAAUACCCCGGGGGGAUGACGGUACCGGAAGAAUAAGCACCGGCUAACUACGUG